rnacentral:rRNA from 1 species
GACGUAGGGCGCGAGCGUUGUCCGGAUUUAUUGGGCGUAAAGAGCUCGUAGGCGGCUUGUUGCGUCGUCCGUGAAAUCCCAUGGCUCAACUGUGGGCUUGCGGUCGAUACGGGCAGGCUUGAGUUCGGUGAGGGGAGACUGGAAUUCCUGGUGUAGCGGUGAAAUGCGCAGAUAUCAGGAGGAACACCGGUGGCGAAGGCGGGUCUCUGGGCAGUAACUGACGCUGAGGAGCGAAAGCGUGGGGAGCGAACAGG